GAAACUCGGCUGUACUGGCUGCCGGCCGCCGCUCGAUUCGGCGGCCAGCCACCAUCAAAGCCAGCAGAGCCGCUCGAGUCCAUGACCGCUUGCCAACGACGCCGCUCUUAUGCGUCUCCAUCUCCGGCUGCCACUAUUCUGCAUCUCCUGGACGGCUGCACAUUUGAUAGAGGUAUGUUCCUUGACUAUCAACAUAGAUCCCCAAUUCAGUUUUUGAUUUCUCCCUUCGUUCUUCCUCGCAUAUAUGCUCAUGUGCAUCUAAUUUCAUGGCCACGGCCUUUUCCUCAAUCGGGCGCCGGCGCCGCUCCGCCUCCGUUUGACCACACUGCCGCCGACGAAGGUCCUACGACAGGCAGCUAUUUGCUCCAUCGAGCGCUGCUGCUGCCGCUCCAUCUCCGUUCGAUAAUCGUCAACCGGCGGCGCGGAGCACGCGACGAGGUCGCCCCCUUCUGCGUCGCCGUCUCUGCCUCUACGUCAUUGUUCAUGCCCACCCGGGGCCGCGCGCUCAAGGCUCCAUGUGACCAUGGCCACCGUGUGGCGGGACGGCGAGGUCGGUUUUGGGUCGCCUUCUCCGCCUCUGCGUCUUCGUUCGUGCCCGCCCGACGACGCGCGCUCAAGGCAUGUUAGGCCUACAAGUAUUCCAUGGGGCCGUGUCCGGCCUGUUCCGCUUGCCGUUCCUCCUGUUCUACGCACAAAUGGCAUGCUUCGCAAGUGGCUAUUUCUCUGGUAGUACUUUCUGCUUUGUCUGACAUCAAAGCUUGGAAAUCUUGCAAUAGCCGUCCUUCCGUAGUUUCAGAAACCACUGGAUCGAUAAGGCAUAUUGGGAAAGUAAGCAUGCAUUUCUUGGUAGAAGAUGUAUCACGCGGAGGCUACAAAUGGAGAUGGUGCGUGUUGCGCGCACCUGAGAAUAUAGAGAUAAGGAAACACAACAUCACUUAUAGGAGAUGGAUUUUAUUGCCAUCAACC